rnacentral:rRNA from 1 species
AUACGUAGGUGGCAAGCGUUGUCCGGAUUUACUGGGUGUAAAGGGCGCGUAGGCGGGCAGGCAAGUCAGAUGUGAAAUCUCCGGGCUCAACCCGGAAAUUGCAUUUGAAACUGCAGGUCUUGAGUAUCGGAGAGGCAAGCGGAAUUCCUAGUGUAGCGGUGAAAUGCGUAGAUAUUAGGAGGAACAUCGGUGGCGAAGGCGACUUACUGGACUGUAACUGACGCUGAGGCGCGAAAGUGUGGGGAGCAAACAGGAUUAGAUACCCUGGUAGUCCACACUGUAAACGAUGAAUGCUAGGUGUAGGGGGUAUCGACCCCUUCUGUGCCGCAGUCAACACAAUAAGCAUUCCGCCUGGGGAGUACGGCCGCAAGGUUGAAACUCAAAUGAAUUGGCGGGG